rnacentral:rRNA from 1 species
UACGUAGGGGGCAAGCGUUGUCCGGAAUCAUUGGGCGUAAAGCGCGUGUAGGCGGUUCAAUAAGUCUGCUGUGAAAGUCCAAGGCUCAACCUUGGGAUGCCGGUGGAUACUGUCGGGCUAGAGUGCGGAAGAGGCGAGUGGAAUUCCCGGUGUAGCGGUGAAAUGCGCAGAUAUCGGGAGGAACACCAAUUGCGAAGGCAGCUCGCUGGGACGUAACUGACGCUGAGACGCGAAAGCGUGGGGAGCAAACAGG